rnacentral:rRNA from 1 species
CCUACGGGGGGCAGCAGUGGGGGAUAUUGCACAAUGGGGGAAACCCUGAUGCAGCGACGCCGCGUGGGUGAAGAAGUAUUUCGGUAUGUAAAGCCCUAUCAGCAGGGAAGAAAGAAGACGGUACCUGACUAAGAAGCCCCGGCUAACUACGUGCCAGCAGCCGCGGUAAUACGUAGGGGGCGAGCGUUACCCGGAUUCACUGGGUGUAAAGGGAGCGUAGACGGCCGUGCAAGCCAGGAGUGAAAGCCCGGGGCCCAACCCCGGGACUGCUCUUGGAACUGUGCGGCUGGAGUGCGGGAGGGGGAGGCGGAAUUCCUGGUGUAGCGGUGAAAUGCGUAGAUAUCAGGAGGAACACCGGCGGCGAAGGCGGCCUGCUGGACCGCGACUGACGUUGAGGCUCGAAAGCGUGGGGAGCGAACAGGAUUAGAUACCCUAGUAGUC